rnacentral:tRNA from 1 species
GCCUGGGUGGCUCAGUGAAGUGUCUGACUUCAGCUCAGGUCAUGAUCUCACGAGUUGUGGGUUCGAGCCCCACAUCAGGCU